rnacentral:tRNA from 1 species
GGGGACAUAGCUCAGUUGGUAGAGUGCUUGCCUUGCAUGCACAAGGCCCUGGGUUCAAUCCCUUGCACCCCCC